rnacentral:rRNA from 1 species
UACGUAGGGUGCGAGCGUUAAUCGGAAUUACUGGGCGUAAAGCGUGCGCAGGCGGCUUUGUAAGACAGAUGUGAAAUCCCCGGGCUCAACCUGGGAACUGCCAUUGUGACUGCAAGGCUAGAGUGCGGCAGAGGGGGAUGGAAUUCCGCGUGUAGCAGUGAAAUGCGUAGAUAUAGGAAGGAACACCGAUGGCGAAGGCAGCCUCCUGGGAUGACACUGACGCUCAUGCACGAAAGCGUGGGGAGCAAACAGG